rnacentral:rRNA from 1 species
UACGUAGGGGGCAAGCGUUAUCCGGACUUACUGGGUGUAAAGGGAGCGUAGACGGCUUUGCAAGCCAGAUGUGAAAGCCCGGGGCUCAACCCCGGGACUGCAUUUGGAACUGUGUGGCUAGAGUGUCGGAGAGGCAGGCGGAAUUCCUAGUGUAGCGGUGAAAUGCGUAGAUAUUAGGAGGAACACCAGUGGCGAAGGCGGCCUGCUGGACGAUGACUGACGUUGAGGCUCGAAAGCGUGGGGAGCAAACAGG